rnacentral:misc_RNA from 1 species
UCUCCGUAGGUGAACCUGCGGAGGGAUCAUUACAAGUGACCCCGGUCUUACCACCGGGAUGUUCAUAACCCUUUGUUGUCCGACUCUGUUGCCUCCGGGGCGACCCUGCCUUCGGGCGGGGGCUCCGGGUGGACACUUCAAACUCAUGCGUAACUUUGCAGUCUGAGUAAACUUAAUUAAUAAAUUAAAACUUUUAACAACGGAUCUCUUGGUUCUG